UACGGAAGGUCCGAGCAUUAUCCGGAUUUAUUGGGUUUAAAGGGUGCGCAGGCGGGAGACUAAGUCGGUGGUGAAAUUUUGCAGCUCAACUGUAACAGUGCCAUUGAUACUGGUUUUCUUGAGUGUGGAUGAAGUAGGCGGAAUUUGUGGUGUAGCGGUGAAAUGCAUAGAUAUCACGAGGAACUCCGAUCGCGUAGGCAGCUUACUAAACCAUAACUGACGCUCAUGCACGAAGGCGUGGGGAUCAAACAGGAUUAGAUA
rnacentral:rRNA from 1 species